GGGGGGGGGGGGGACACACAUUUUACCACUUUGGAAGUGUCUCUCGCGCAAACUAUUCAUUUUAGAAAAAAAUGAUAUUAGAAACCUCAAUAUCAUUUUUGAAGACCUAUCCAUAGAUACCCCACGCGUAUGGGUUUGAUGAAAAAAGAUUUUUUGAGUUUCAGUUCUCAGUAUGGGGAACCCCCAAAAUUUAUUGUUUUUUUUUCUAUUUUUGUGUGAAAAUCUUAAUGCGGUUCAUAGAAUACAUCCACUUACUAAGUUUGAACAGUACAGCUCUUAUAGUUUCGGAAAAAAGUGGCUGUGACAGAAUCGGACAGACAGACGGACAUGACGAAUCUAUAAGGGUUCCGUUUUUUGCCAUUUGGCUACGGAACCCUAAAAAGAAACGUCAAAACCAUUCAGUUCACGCAUAAGCCGUUUUUACUUUUGUAGCUGUUUGUAUUGUAUUGUAUACAAACACUUUUAAGAGGCAUUUUUCUUGUAUUGUAAAAGUGAUAAAAAAGUAAAAAAGGCGGGAUCGGAAAAUACUUACUGAAUUGGAUAGUGUAAAUUGUGUAGUGUAAAAAGCGGCCAAGUGCGAGUCGGACUCGCCCAUGAAGGGUUCCGUACCAUUUAUGACGUAUUAAAAAAACUACUUACUAGAUCUGGUUCAAACCAAUUUUCGUUGGAAGUUUGCAUGGUAAUGUAUAUCAUAUAUUUUUUUUAGAUUUUUCAUUCCGUUAUUUUAGAAGUUACAGGGGGGGGGACACACUUUUUUUCACUUUGGAAGGGUCUCUCGCGCAAACUAUUCAGUUUAGAAAAAAAUGAUAUUAGAAACCUAAAUAUCAUUUUUGAAGACCUAUCCUUAGAUACCCCACACGUAUGGGUUUGAUGAAAAAAAUUUUUUUUUUAAUUUUUAUGACGUAUUAAAAAAAAACUACUUACUAGAUCUCGUUCGAACCAAUUUUCGGUGGAAGUUUGCAUGGCAAUGUAUAUCAUAUAUUUUUUUUAGAUUUUUCAUUCUGUUAUUUUAGAAGUUACGGGGGGGGGGGGACACACUUUUUACCACUUGGGAAGUGUCUCUCGCGCAAACUAUUCAGUUUAGAAAAAAAUGAUAUUAGAAACCUCAAUAUCAUUUUUAAAGACCUAUCCAUAGAUACCCCACACGUAUGGGUUUGAUGAAAAAAGAUUUUUUGAGUUUCAGUUCUAAGUAUGGGGAACCCCCAAAAUUUAUUGUUUUUUUUCUAUUUUUGUGUAAACAUCAUAAUGCGGUUCAUAGAAUACAUCUACUUACCAAGUUUGAACAGUAUAGCUUUUAUAGUUUCGGAAAAAAGUGGCUGUGACAGAAUCGGACAGACAGACGGACAUGACGAAUCUAUAAGGGUUCCGUUUUUUGCCAUUUGGCUACGGAACCCUAAAAAUACUAGAAACACAUAUCUACGCUAUAAAAAUGAGUUCUUUUAGCGAAGAAAAUAUAAAUGUUCCUGGCAAAAAUACAUCGCUUUCUUUCAACAAUUGUCCUCAUGCCAAUCUAAAUGUUAAUGUCUAUUAAAAUACUUAUAGUUAUGCAAAUGUUUUCUUAUUAACUCGCAGUAGUCGUGAAAAGUACUAUGUAAUGCCUCGGCCGGAAACGCUAAAGAUGGACUAGUAUUAUUUGAGGGCCUCCACAAACUCACUCGUCCAUCUUUGAGCGGUUUUCCGGCCUCUUACAAUGUACUAUAGUUUGUAACUGGUAACGAGAAAAGAUAAAAGUUUCUUCUCUUGUAACCUCACAGCGGUUACAAAACAUAGUUACAAAAGCGGCCGAGAAUGUUUGAGAUUGUAACUGGUUAUGGGAAAAGAGUAAAUUUUCUUAUUUUGUAUCUGGUUACAAAACUCUGUUACAUACGCGGCCGAAAGGAAUUUAUUCACACCCUUAUACAUUUAGGUGCCUAAAUGUCUCAAUAGUGGAGAAAUUGAUGUCGAUCAAGGGGAGGAGCACAUGAUUAAUACAUUGUUAUACUCCUUAAAUUUUCCUACAAAUCGGCCUAUCAUACCUAGUUGGUUACCAAGUUCUGUUACUCGAUUUGUAACCUUUUUAUUAACGUUAAAGCAAAUGCUACCGAAAAAAUAAAAAAUGACAUAAUGUGGUGGAUUUGUGAGCUAUAAUUUUAUAGCACACAUAACGCUUAUCUCGUCGUAUCUAUAAUGAAUUGGGGCCUAAAAGAGAAUCGUAUCGCAGUAAUUGCGUUGCACAAAUGUGGGCACCCGCCAAACAUGAUUUUGAAGUUGCUUGAAAACCUAAAAAUCAACAAACAAGUUGUUUAUCGCACAAUUAAUAGAUACAAUAGUACUCAGAGCUUCGAUGACCGCAAGAGGUCUGGAAGACCACGCACCGUUCGGACCCCAGCUCUAAUAAAGGCAGUGUAGGCGAGAAUUGCAAGAAACACAUUCCGGACGCAAAAGUUGUUGGCAAUACAGAUGUCUGUGAAGAGAAGCUCCCUAAAAAAGUUAUCAAUGAAGGACUACACGCUUACCGCAGACAAAAAGGUCAUUUGCUUAAUGGACGAUUAAAGACUAUGAGGCUAGAGAGAAGUCGCGUGCUAUUGAAGCGGUACGCACAAAAUGGCCACCGAAAAAUACUAUUUACAGAUGAAAAAAAUUUUACCAUUGAAGAAUGUUGUAACCGCCAGAAUGACAGAGUGUAUGCAAAAAACAGUCAAGAGGCGAUUGCGGCUGUUCUGAGAGUGCAACAAGGCCAUCAUCCCUCUUAUGUGAUGAUUUGGCUGGGUGUGUCAUACUCAGGGCUAACACAGGUUCAUUUCUGUGAAAAAGGUGUGAAAACUGGGGCCAAAGUUUACCAGGAAACCGUUCUCGAACCAAUAGUGAAGCCCUUAAGCCACACCCUAUUUCAAAACCAGCCAUGGGGCUUUCAACAGGACUCUGCUCCUGCACAUAAGGCAAAAACAACUCAAGCCUGGUUUCGAAGGAACAAAUUGACUUUAUUGCCCACGAAGACUGGCCGUCCUCCAGCCCGGACCUUAACCCCCUGGAUUAUGCCAUAUGGCAGGUUAUUGAGGAGAAAGCCUGUGCUAAACCCCACACAAUCCCUGACUCCCUCAAGCAGGCCAUAGUUAAGACAGUGACGGAAUUAGACAUGACAAUCGUGCGUGCCGCUAUUGAUGAGUCGUUUGAGGGCCUGUGUCAAGGCCAGAGGAGGCCAUUUUGAAUGAUAUUGUCAUAUGUAAUUCCUGAUUUUGUGUACUUCAUUUUAAUAUAUGUGUCAGUGCACAUGCAAAAGUACCUUGUUGCAGAUAUUGAGUUAUGCAUGGUUCCAAAAAGUAGAUUAAAUUUGCUAUCAAUACAAAAAAAAAAUAUGACUGUAGGUGGAACCACUAUUUUUAUAUAAAUUUUUGAAUUUUCGACUUCCGAAAUGCACAAGUUGAGAAAAUUGCAUUUAAAGUUUAUAGUGGCAAAAAACACACUUCUACUUCAAAUAACAAAUAACAAAUAAUUUUAUUGAAAACAGUAUAAGUAGGUACAGUGUUAGCACUUAAAGACUAAGGAUUAAGGAUAAGGAAAAGUUUACAAAUGCCUGAACUAGGAGUUCCUGUGUUUCAGGCAGAAUAGGACCAUAUUAAUUAAUUUGUAAUUAUUCACUUAAUUAUAAUUAUAAAUAGUACACAAUAAAAAUCUGGUAGGGUGAUAACCUUAACAAAAUAACUUAUUUAAGUAUUCUAUAUCAAAGUACAGUAAGAAAUCAUUUUACGACUAUUAGUAAGUUCUCUGUAUCAUCGUAUGUCAUUUUUUGAAGGGUGCGUCGUAGAAUAUUCUUACAACCAACAUAGCUAAGAGGGUAUAAGUCUAAUUUUGAAUUUAACCUGUUGUACAAAUAAGGGCCCAAAAAGACAAAAAAUCUAGAAGAAAAUACGUGUUUUCUUUGUACGGUUUGUAUACAUACACCGUGUUUUUUUUGAUUUGCGUUAAUUUCGAGGGUGCAUUCCUGAGCUUAAAUAAAGUAACUUUCUCAAAGAUACCGAUAUUCUAACUCCAUUUCGGAGAUAAUCAAUCAUUAAUUUUUAUCUUAUAAGACCCUUACGAGCGUGUACACUUGCCUUAGGGCCUGUUUACUUAUUGAUUAGUGUUUAGUGCGAGUUCAUACAUUUGCUACUAAACGUAAGUACUAUCUCGGACGAUCGACGUUCGAAAUGACAUUGAUAUGACACGGUUUUCAAUUGUUUGGUUGAGUUAAAUGUAAUGCCCGUGUUACAACAACGCUAUAUGCAACAUUUAGUUACUUUUAUAAAAAUAAAAAUAGUAAAAAAAAAAACAAAAAAA